CCAGGGGUUCACCGUGAUUCCGUCUGGGCGACCGACAGGCUCAUCAGAGUGGCGGGACAUUAGAUCCAAGCUAUGUUGUGGACAUUCCGGUUGCUACAGGUACUGGGGAUCGUAGCAUUGAUUGUUGUCACCUAUAAGUAUGGGACCAGCAGCUGCCAUGAGAUGUAUAGAUCUUCAUCACUCCCCAAGAAGAAAGAACUGAGAAGUCCAAGUUCACCUUUACUUGCACCUAAUAUGGAACAUGAGGUGCUUUUUGUCAGAGUUUCUUAAGUCUAAGGAAUUUACUAAUGGAGGCCUUCGUCAUUUCUUCAAAAGCACCUUUACACACCAGAGUGAAAGUUAAAGAAUCUGUAUCUGUAUAAAUGAAUCUAGUUCUUUCACCCUAAUGUUCUUUAACUGUCUUAUACCAGAAAUUAUACAAUCUUCUCAUUGCUAUUUGCAAAAUCUGAUACCACCAUGUAUAAAGGAAUGGUGACUAAGGAUAUCUUUCACGAUUGGACAGAGAACCCGAUAUGUGCCUAGUGAGACAGCACUUUUAUACUAAGGGUUUUUUGCAUGUACUAGGAAAGUUUCUCGUGAAGUCACUAGGUGGUAAGUGUUAGCAUAACGAGUAAUGUUAGUCAUAGAUUUCCUGUAGAGAAUAUUGCUAAUGAGUUAGAAUGCUUUUGAUUUUAAAGAGCAAGAUGUGUUUGACCGUUCUCUAAUGUUUGUGGAAAUAAAAUAUUUGCGAUAAGAUACGUGUCUAAAUUCAUAGAUGGCUUUUACUCAUUCCAAUCCAAUCCAAUUCUCAUUAGGAAUAAGAUGUUAGAAAGGAAAUCAAGGCUCACUAAAUAGUCUUUCUGUGGAAAAUGUUAAGCAAUUAAUUUUGUGUUUUUCGUUGGAAGUUUAUGUCUCUCAUCAUUAAGAGUAUGUUUGCUAUACUCUAAUAAAUAUUCUUCAGUAAUAUUUGUGUGUGACAGUACGAGAGGUAAGUUAGCAGUGUACCUUGCUACAUCUGGAGAUACCUGUUUAGUAUCACACAAGAUCCAAUAACUCUUGUCAAAAUUGCAAGUGUUGUGGGCUAGCCUUUGUUCCAACAAAGCAUUCCGCUCAAGAUCCGAUAACUGUCUAAUCCAACCUUUAGGAAGCAACAGUCAUUCAAGCAGUGCAUAAACUAAUGAAGUCUAAAUACAAAAUGUGUGUGUCUUCAUCAGAGCUGGGGUUGGAUGUAGUGUAUUCGUUCUUAGCCCAAGUGAACUAUCUUAUAGAUGAUGUAAAAAAAACACAAAGAUUUCUUCCUAGCAAGUCAUAUAUGUUAUGCUCAUUUACACAGUCAAUUAUAACUUUAGACUUGAAGAAAGCGUCCCGAACGUAACUAGGCAAUGAUACGUAGAAGACCAUUUUUAAUUGAUAAAUUUAUUUUAUGGACUUACGCCAGAGUGUAAAUAUGUCAACCAGCUUCCCUACAUCAACUUUUAAGCACAAAAGGAGAUAUUUCCUAAUGUUCUCGCACUUCCCUAAUCUAAGCACGUCAAGAGCAUGGGAGUAAUUUACUUCAGAAAGAGGUAUGUCGUGUAAUGUGUUAUAAAACUGGUCACGUGGAGGGAGGUGACGUUCGUCCAGUAUAUCCAUUGAUGAAAUAUAGUUGUAGCAGAAAAUCCGUUUCCCUGGCAUUAACAUGGUUUUACCUUCCUUAGAUACAUCUCUUAAUCUUUGCUUUGUAUACUUGAGUAGUUUCUUACUCUCAAUGUGCUCGAUCGCUAAACUUUCCAAUGAUCAGUUAAGGAGUGUCAAGCUAUCUAAGAACCUAAUUUUACCUAUUGUCACUUGCAUAUAUAUAAAUCCUUCUUCAGAAAAGAUGUCAAUUUUACGAUAAUGUGUUUUGGAUAGUUCCUUUAGUAUAAUUUCGAGUUCAUAAGAUGUUUUAGGUGAAAAUGUGUAUAGGUAUCUGCGAGCAUUAAUGAAUUGCAAGUUGCAAAUGAGCACAAUAUGAACCUAGAUAGAUUUUAUCUUUAACAGUGUGGUUAUGAUGUCUAUGUUUGCCCUCGCCUGUUCUAAACUCUUAGUGACAUAACUGACAAUUCCUGCGUCUGAAACACUCUCUCUUCUUCUCUGGAUAAGUUUUUUAGGGAAGUUGGGGAGCAGAGCAUAAAUUGUCUUCCAAGAAGCCUCUAAAUUUGAGUUGAAAUUAUUUAACUGUAUCAGGUCCUAGAUAAGAAUGCGUUUCUACAACAUUGAAGUCUCUAUCCAAUAUGAUACGUAUGCAUAAGCAAUUGCUUUUUGACUGUUUUCGGUCAUUCCUCGGGGAUUUUGGCGAUCGAGCAAGCAUUCGAAAUCGUAGAAAGCAGUGUGAAUAGGACUGAAUGUCCACCCGUAGUUCGUAAUUACGAUUUUUUAAUCUGGAUUGAAGAAAGAGAAUACCUGUGUAACGGGGCACGACUCUUCGUGAGCAUUUAUCCCUUCUGGCUGAGCGUGUAAUAAGCAUGUAUGACAGAAUUUGUGAGAAGCAGGAAUUCUUUACGGGUUAUGAUUUAUACUCUUAGCAAAUUUGUCAGUCCUAAUAAGAAAUAAAUGUUUGCCUUCCAAUAACAAAAGAAAAACAAUAUAUUUAUACUGUUCUUUGCUCUUCCUGGCUAAACUGAGAUAGUACUGGCUGUUUUCUUCUGAUAUUGCAUAUAUGAAAAUGCAACCCAACUCUAAAUUGACAGUACGUUUUAAUACUAAGUGUAAUGAAUACAU